GGUCCAUGUGAACAGCAGUUGGACAUGGGUCAGUCGAUCCUAAGAAAACGGCGAAAGCUUGUUCGAAUUUGCGACAUGAAUUGUAAGACUGUGUGUGAAUUGGGUGUGCAGUUGUCGUAUGUUUUCG
rnacentral:rRNA from 1 species